GGGGCUCAAGCACACCGCCGAAGCCGCGGCAUAUAUUUUUAUAUGGGUAGGGGAGCGUCGUGCAUGAGUUGAAGCAGUAUCGUAAGGCGCUGUGGAUUGUGUGCGAGUGAGAAUGCAGGCAUGAGUAACGAAUUGUAAGGUGAGAAUCCUUACCGCCGGAUGACUAAGGGUUCCUGGGUCAAGUUCGUCUUCCCAGGGUGAGUCGGGACCUAAGGCGAGGCCGACAGGCGUAGUCGAUGGAUAACCAGUUGAUAUUCUGGUACCCGUUUUAUCGCGCCCAUGGUAAAGCAUUGAUACUAACCACCCACAAGGCUGGACUUAAGCACCUUCGGGUGUGUGUUUGGUUGCGUGCGUGGGGCCUGAUAUGUGGUCCAAGCGAUGGGGUGACACAGUGGGGUAGCUAUGCCGCUUAGUGGAUUGUUGGUGUAAGCGUGUGAGGUGGUGUGUAGGUAAAUCCGCACACCGUAUAGCCUGAGGCGUGAUGCGUAGCCCGAUUGGGGUGAAGUUGGUGAUCUAGUACUGUCGAGAAAAGCCUCU
rnacentral:rRNA from 1 species